rnacentral:tRNA from 1 species
GGCCUUAGCUCAGCCGAUAGAGCGCCUGAUUUGCACUCAGGAGGUCGUGGGUUUGAUUCCCAUAGGCUCC